rnacentral:sRNA from 1 species
AAAAUUGUGAAAGAGUCCAAAAACUGAUGAUUUUGAUAAACGUUAUAAAAAAACCCUCAAUAUCCUGUUGUCAGCAUAAAGGUUAAUAAUAAGACCAGGAGAUUCUGGAGUAACAGAAUUUAUUCAUCUAUAAAUGAACAUGAAGUACAGGAGAGUGUCCGAGCAUACCAUGCAGAGCAACAAGAUAACACAACUUAUACAGGAAGUCAUUGAAGCACUAGGAAACACCCACACCAAUCCUCUUGUGAACAAGCAGACUGUUCACAACUAGUGUGGCGAUUCAUUCAUAAAAUGAAGUAUCUAUUAUAGGAAUUUCCUCUUCGAGAUUCGCCUGUACUUUGCGUUAUUGUAACAACAGGGUUAAAGGAUGGGUCCAUUCAAGGACUUACACAUGUGGCUGACUUGCGCAUGGGUGGAGCGGAUGUGGAGAUUUCACUUCCGUUCUAGAUGCCUGAUUUACACUGUCACGUGAUGUCUGACUUGGCUGCGAAAUGAAUAAAAUAAACACAAAGAAACGGUGGCGUAUUUCGUCGAUCAUGGCAUAUCUGUAACGUUUAUGGCGCAUUUGUGACGUUUCUAUGACUAACUUUGUAUUUCAAGUUGCCUUGAAAAGAGAAUAUUUAAAAGAAGCUUUCUCAAAUGUGAGAUAUGAACUUCUUAAAAGAUAUGCAAAAAAAAUCAACCAAUGCCAGUAAAGUAUAAGAUUUAGCUAUUGUAUUUCAUAUGAUGAAAAUGUAAAAAAUAAAACAAAAACAAACAAA